UACAGAGGGGGCAAGCGUUAUUCGGAAUUAUUGGGCGUAAAGGGCGCGUAGGCGGCUUUGCAAGUGACGGGUGAAAGCCCUCGGCUUAACCGAGGAACUGCCUGUCAGACUGUGAGGCUUGAGACCGGGAGAGGUGAGUGGAAUUCCCAGUGUAGCGGUGAAAUGCGUAGAUAUUGGGAGGAACAUCGGUGGCGAAGGCGGCUACCUGGACGGGUACUGACGCUGAGGCGCGAAAGCUAGGGGAGCAAACAGG
rnacentral:rRNA from 1 species